rnacentral:rRNA from 1 species
ACGCUGGCGGUAGGCUUAACACAUGCAAGUCGAGCGAGAAAGUAUCUUCGGAUAUGAGUAGAGCGGCGGACGGGUGAGUAACGCGUAGGAAUCUACCUAGUAGAAGGGGAUAGCCCGGGGAAACUCGGAUUAAUACCGUAUACCUCCUAAGGGAGAAAGAGGGCCUCUCUUGAAGCUCUCGCUACUAGAUGAGCCUGCGUAAGAUUAGCUUGUUGGUAAGGUAAUGGCUUACCAAGGCUACGAUCUUUAGCUGGUCUGAGAGGACGAUCAGCCACAUUGGGACUGAGACACGGCCCAGACUCCUACGGGAGGCAGCAGUGGGGAAUAUUGGACAAUGGGCGCAAGCCUGAUCCAGCCAUACCGCGUGUGUGAAGAAGGCCUUCGGGUUGUAAAGCACUUUAAGCAGGGAGAAAAAGCAAUAAGUUAAUACCUUAUUGCCGUGAUGUUACCUGCAGAAUAAGCACCGGCUAAUUCCGUGCCAGCAGCCGCGGUAAUACGGAAGGUGCAAGCGUUAAUCGGAAUUACUGGGCGUAAAGCGCGCGUAGGUGGUUUGUUAAGUUGGAUGUGAAAGCCCUGGGCUCAACCUAGGAACUGCAUCCAAAACUAACUCACUAGAGUACGAUAGAGGGAGGUAGAAUUCAUAGUGUAGCGGUGGAAUGCGUAGAUAUUAUGAAGAAUACCAGUGGCGAAGGCGGCCUCCUGGAUCUGUACUGACACUAAGGUGCGAAAGCGUGGGUAGCGAACAGGAUUAGAUACCCUGGUAGUCCACGCCGUAAACGAUGACAACUAGCUGUUGGGAGACAAUGUCUUUCAGUGGCGCAGCUAACGUUUUAAGUUGUCCGCCUGGGGAGUACG